rnacentral:rRNA from 1 species
GAUGAACGCUGGCGGCGUGCCUAAUACAUGCAAGUAGAACGCUGACUACUUUAGCUUGCUAGAGUAGAAGGAGUUGCGAACGGGUGAGUAACGCGUAGGUAACCUGCCUACUAGCGGGGGAUAACUAUUGGAAACGAUAGCUAAUACCGCAUAACAGUGUUUAACAAAUGUUAGAUGCUUGAAAGAUGCAAUUGCAUCACUAGUAGAUGGACCUGCGUUGUAUUAGCUAGUUGGUGGGGUAACGGCCCACCAAGGCGACGAUACAUAGCCGACCUGAGAGGGUGAUCGGCCACACUGGGACUGAGACACGGCCCAGACUCCUACGGGAGGCAGCAGUAGGGAAUCUUCGGCAAUGGGGGCAACCCUGACCGAGCAACGCCGCGUGAGUGAAGAAGGUUUUCGGAUCGUAAAGCUCUGUUGUAAGAGAAGAACGUGUGUGAGAGUGGAAAGUUCACACAGUGACGGUAACUUACCAGAAAGGGACGGCUAACUACGUGCCAGCAGCCGCCGCAG